UCAAUAAAAAAUGGAGAAAAUCCAUUCACAAUUUCGACCCAGAUGUACGAGAAAGAUUAGAGAGAAGAGGAGGCAGCCUAGCAGGGGUGGAGCCGUGGAGGUCGCUGCUGCAGUCACCGAUCUGUGGGCAUCGUCCCAUCACCAAGCUGCGAUCGUCACCAUCACCGAACAGAGGACUAGGCGGCGAACUGCAACUCCCGAGAUUACCAGCAAUGGAUCUACCCCUCCUGAGCCCAUUGGCGUCAAAUUCGCUUCUCUUGAUCUUGUUGCAGUUGUCACCGUUGCAAUCGUCGCCGUCGUUGGUGCUAUCGUCACGUGCAGUAGAGGUAGGGAGGCUGGAGGGAGUAGGGAGGGUCCAGGGUGA
rnacentral:lncRNA from 1 species